ACAUUUCUCACCAUUACCAAAACAUAGUGCCAAAGCCUAAAUUGCACAAAAUCUUCAACUAAAAUCACAAAACCCUUUAUUUUUCAAAGACCCAACAAAUGGCAGUACACAAUCAAAACACAAACCCUAAUUUCCUUCAACCCAACAAAAAAAUUUACCUCUUUGAAGUUAUCGCACUCAAAGAAUUUUCUCCCUUUGUUCCGUGGAGUAUUCGCAUUGCAAAUGGAAGCCUUUAACCCCCAAUGGUAGUAUAAAAAAGUUGAAUAAGACAUUUAUGAAUAGAUAAACCCUAAGAGAAUCCCUAAUACAAAGUUAACAAAAAUAAUGAACAUAUGAAAAACUUAGAAAAUGAAAGAUGUAGAAAACGAUGAAAAAACAAUGGAAAAUUUAGAAAUAUGGUGCAAGGAGAAAAAUUAAAUGGAAAGUUUUUUAAGGGAUUUUUUUAAAGGAAAUUUAAUUAAAGGAGUCCAGUCACUUGCCAAUAGGAUGCCACGUGGCAUCGUGCCAUUGGCCAAUGCUACCAUAUCAUAAAAAAACUAAGGGCAUUAGACUCAAAUAUCAAUUUAGUUGAUGAAAAAAAAUUGAAUACCAAUUUGGGAUAAAAAAAAAAACUUUAAGUACCAAUUUAAGAUAAAUAAACAAAUUCAAGUAACAAUUAUAUAUUUUUCCCUAAAAUAUAUAACAUAUGAACACUUAUCAAAACCUAUGAUAACUUGAAACCAAACUAACCCGAAUUUAAAAAUAACCCUGUAAUUAGCCAAUUUUGGCCUAAGCCCAAAGCAAGAAUAAGACGAAAGCAAUAAAACCCAAAUAAACAAAUAAACAAAAAAAAGAAAAGAAAAAGAGAGAGUCUACAUUUAAAGUCCAAAAUUACAAAUUAAAACCCAUUACAUGUUGAAAUCCAAACCCAAACAGCCCAUUACAUCAAACCCUAGCCCAAAUCCUAGCCUAUUAUCCUAAAUUUUUUUCAGCAAACUAACCCUAGGGCUAGUCCCUAUUGCGGCCGCCGCUCCCACCAUUGGCCUCCCCACGCAUGCUCAGCCACCUCACGCGCCAACCACUGUUCACCCACGCCUCUGACACCUGCAGAAGAAGUAAAUGCAACAAAGACAAGGAAGAAAACGACAAAAAAAAGGAUUGAAUCGUCUUGUAAACGGCUUUAAAAGCCACAAUCUCACCCUUGUAAAUUUUUUACAAACACUUACGAACAUUUUACGAGAAUAUAUAAAAAAGCAGAACAAUUUUUAGGUGAUUUUUCGCUUAAGUUUCCGUUUUAUUUUUAUUUCAUUGGUUAUUUUUAUUUUUUGUUUUUUGUUUUGCAUUCGAAAAUAAGUAAAGAAACCUCACCUGAAUCUCCACGGACGUGAAGUCGGAAAGCUUUCUCCGUCGUUGCAAUCGGGUUCGAAAGGGGGGCGAGGGUUCUCUUCUUUUGUUUCUUAUAGGACGCUGAAGGUUUGGCCUUCAAAGGGGCUUUGAAAUGGGGUUGGAAUGCCCAUUUUUGCGCGUAGCCGGCCACCGAAUGCAGUGGUGGUGCGGCGGGCAGCGAGAGAACCCGAUCAUCAGAAGAAGAUGAGAGGGAGAGAGAGUUGGAAAGGCUCUUUAGUUUUUUUCUUUUUUUUUUUAGUUUAGGGUUAAUUUGAGUUUUUUUUUUUAAAGUUUGGGCCUUUGAUUCAACAUUUAAACAGUGUCAUUUGGUGGGGUGGGGAUCCGCGCAUUGACCUGACCCGCAUGUCAGGUCCACCCGUUUUCGUUUUAAAGGGGCGAUUUGCGUAAAUGGUCCCUCCUUCUUUCCUGCACCAUUCGAUUAAGUCCCAUUCCAUUUUCUUUGUCUUCUAAUUUUACCCUAAAAUUUGCGCGUCAUUUCAUUUUGGCCCAGGAUGAAGCACAGCUCAUUGAGGGGUCUGGGGUAUUUUUCCUUUUGCCCCCUUUAUUUUUGGUUUGUUGCGAAUUGGUCCAUCAUUUCAUUUUCGUUACUUAGGAUUUAUACCCGAAACUCUAAUCUAUUUUCAAUCGCAUCCUAAACCUAUUUUAUUCAUUUUCUUUUUAAAA
rnacentral:lncRNA from 1 species